CCGAGCGGCCAGAUCCGCCGACGAGGAGGCCGGAGUCAUCGGAUCCGGCGGUUCGGGCCUCCUCGUUGGCGGAUGCAGCGGAGGAG
rnacentral:pre_miRNA from 1 species